rnacentral:rRNA from 1 species
UAUUGGACAAUGGGCGCAAGCCUGAUCCAGCAAUGCCGCGUGAGUGAUGAAGGCCUUAGGGUUGUAAAGCUCUUUUACCCGGGAUGAUAAUGACAGUACCGGGAGAAUAAGCUCCGGCUAACUCCGUGCCAGCAGCCGCGGUAAUACGAAGGGGGCUAGCGUUGUUCGGAUUUACUGGGCGUAAAGCGCGUGUAGGCGGGCUGGAAAGUUGGGGGUGAAAUCCCGAGGCUCAACCUCGGAACUGCCUCCAAAACUUCCAGCCUGGACUCAAGCAGAGGCAAGUGGAAUUGCGAGUGUAGAGGUGAAAUUCGUAGAUAUUCGCAGGAACACCAGUGGCGAAGGCGACUUGCUGGGCUUGUAGUGACGCUGAGACGCGAAAGCGUGGGGAGC